GACGAACGCUGGCGGCGUGCCUAAUACAUGCAAGUCGAACGCACAGGUUAUACCGUAGCUUGCUACACCAUAGACGGUGAGUUGCGAACGAGUGAGUAACGCGUAGGUAACCUGCCUGGUAGCGUGGGAUAACUAUUGGUAACGAUAGCUAAUACCUCAUGAUAUUAAUUAUUGCAUGAUAAUUAAUUGAAAUGUGCAAUUGCAUCACUACCAGAUGGACCUGCGUUGUAUUAGUUAGUAGGUGAGGUAACGGCUCACCUAGGCGACGUUACAGAGCCGAACGGAGAGGGUGGUUGGCCACACUGGGACUGUGACAGGGCCCAGAGGCCUACAGGAAGGAGCAGUAGGGAAACUUGGGGAAUGGGCGAAAGGCUGACCGAACAACGCCGCGGGAGUGAAGAAGGAUUUCGGGUCCGAAAGCUCUGUUGUAAGGGAAGAAACGGUGUGAGAGUGGAAAGUUCACGCUGUGACGGUAUCUGAUCAGAAAGCGACGGCUAACUACGUG
rnacentral:rRNA from 1 species